AUGCUCUGUGUGGGUUUAGCAGUGGGUAGUUCAGUUCACCGAGGCCCGCAUCUGGACAUCAGUGAUACCCUGGAGGAGAAUGUGGCUCACGGACAAAUCACUUUAAACGAGAUGUUCAGAGAGGUGGAGAAACUGAUGGAGGACACACAGCACAAGCUUGAUGAGGCUGUGCAUCAGAUGGAGAACGAGACUACAAAAUCACUGUUAAAUGGACGCGACUUUCCAGACAACUUUCACGAUGAAACUACGACAGAAAUUAAGGUUCAUAAUUUCAUAUGCAGUUGAAGUCAGAAUUAUUAACCCCCUGAAUUAUUAGCCCCCGGUUAUUUAUUAUUUUUUGCUAAGUUCAGUUUAACAGAGAGAAGAUUUUUUUUAACACAUUUCUGAACAUAAUAGUUUAGAAUUGUCUCCAGUGCAAAUAAUCCUCUGUCAUCCCACUCACUGAGGACACUGCAGUGUAGGUGAGAAACUUGUUGAAUGCUUAAAAGUGUAUUUCAGAAUUUCUGAGUCCAUGUUUGCAAAUCUAGAGCCUGUAGUGGUGAACAAUGCUCAAACACUAUUUAACCACGUGCUGGAAUACUUAGCCUGCUAUUUAUUUUCACACAUUCAUGUUUUCAUAUCUUAAUCUGGCCUGUGACAUGCAUGAGCUAUCACUUAAAAUUUCUCUAUUUAUAGUCUAAUUGUACAUUAUAAGUUAAUAACUAAUAAAUUGUACUUGUUUUCUAACUAACAAUAUAGUAACUGCAAUAAAUGUGUUUCUCACUGUUGAUUUUAACAGAAUAACUCAAAUUGACUAAUUAGACUUUAUUGUAAAGUGUUACCAGCGGUAUUUUAUAAUCCAUUUGCAAUUAAAUUUUUAAACAUUUGUAUAACAUGUUUCGAUACACAAAGUAGUUUUAUACCUGUGUUGAAUAUUGUGAUCUUAUUACUGCAUAUCCUGAUCAAAGCUUUAACAAGUAAUUGCAGCUAGAAAAGUUAACGUCAUCAUAAGCUUGAUAUUAGCUAUUGCUCUGUUACAGUAAUUGUCAAUGUGGACUCUAGCAUGUCUACAUGUUCUGUCUAGAGACUGGAUUCUGAGAGCAAGAUCCUGUGAAGUGUCCAUCAAAGCUGAAGAGUAGAACUGGGUGUAAGUUUGAAAUGCAACAGAAUGUGUGUAUCUGUCUGCCUAAGUAUUGCUCUGACUGUGAUUUUGGUGUCACAUGUAGGUUCAGCAACUGUUCUGAGACCGAGUAAAAAUGUCAUGAACCGGAACAUAUUUAUCUUGUAUUGUUUGUGUUUAAUUCUGCACAAUAUUCCAGGAAAAUAUAUUUUACUACCACAACAAUUAACCCAGCAUGUGAUAUUAUUCAAACUGUAGAUUUCAUCUGUUAUUCAUCACUGUAUAUCUCUUUAUAGACGUGCCCGUUUUAAUGUUCAGAUUUUUUAAAAUGUUUGUACAGAUUCAGGCUGUCAGCCAGACAGAAAAUAUUAAACUAAAUGAUCAUUUCAGUGUAAGCCAUGAAUGACAGUCUUUGCUUGUAACAGAACUGUGGAUGUGUGGAUAUGGGCAGUUGUAAAAUGAUGAGUGGUAGGGAAUGUGUAUGUAUUUACAUUAGAUACUACUCUGCACAUUACUGUGCAUUCAUAAAACAUGACAAUAAUUCUUGGUCUGUUGUAAGUUUUUAGUUGUUAGGAUCAUACAAAAUCAUAUUCUCCUCCCUCAGAUGCUGUGAAGUGAUGGAGUCCAGAUGCUACAGGCACAGAAAAAGAUGCAGCAAUGGAGGAACACAGUGAGCACCUUCCAGGAAGAGCUGGAGGAUAGUAGAAAUAAAGACUCUAAAAUAAAAUUUUACUUGUGUUGUCCAUAUUUCUGUUUUGUAGGUUUUUUUUUUCUUAUUAGAUGUGUCUGUUUGACUGUGAUGUAAAUCUGUGACUAUAUGAACAAUAAAUAAUUUGCUUAAUUGUAACACUAUUGCAUCCUCAAAUAAUGUAUUAAUUAUGAUUUACAGGUGAUUACAAUGUCAUAAAGUCGUUCAGGUAUAACUGGACCGAAAUCGGACCUGAUUGCAUUUCAAUGCUUUAAAUAAUAAGUUUUUAACGCGUACGCGUUUUAAAAACAAACCUGAACAUGGACCAAACGUCCAGAACAUGAUAAAUUUCGACGUGCAGGAACCGUGUAGAAAAGACGUGCGAUUCACGGCCAGAUGGCGAAAAAGACCUCGGUUGCAUUUUAAUUUUGGUACUACUUUUCAACUACGCGACGUGAAUUGUUUAACACAAAACAAAAAAAAGUGUCCAGCACCAAAUCCUCCAUAGAUCAAUAAGAUUUAAACAGAGCUUUAUAUAAUAAGUCAACUCCACUGAUAAUGAUAAUAUUUUAGCGAUUAUAUUUUAUCUCAAAGAAGAAUUUUACUAAUUUACAAGAGAGGCAUAAAAAGGGAAGGACAUUAUUAAUUAUUACUGUUAUUGUUUUAUUAUUCAGAUGACCAAUUUCUGAAUAGUGAGGUUAUUUGUGCCUACCAGUUUGUUAUUUGUCCAAUAAAUCAUAAUACAUUUUUUCUUUCUCUUGUGGACUGAUAAUUUAUGGACUAUUUUAGCCCAACCCUUCAUGUUUGUUAUUCAAUCUUUUAUGUUUGAAACACUAAUGUCCACUUAUUAUUGACUGUGAUAAACAACUUUAAUACGUUUAUAUGCUUUGGUAAAAUAUCACCUCACUGAUGGUUUUUUUAAUAUUUUUUAUUAUUGACUUCAAUAACAAAGAUACAAAAUCCAAUUUUAUACAAAAAACAGUGAUAUUAACAGAUCA
rnacentral:lncRNA from 1 species